rnacentral:rRNA from 1 species
CAGUAGCCGCGGUAAUACGGAGGGUGCAAGCGUUAAUCGGAAUUACUGGGCGUAAAGCGCACGCAGGCGGUCUGUCAAGUCAGAUGUGAAAUCCCCGGGCUUAACCUUGGAACUGCAUUUGAAACUGGCAGGCUAGAGUCUUGUAGAGGGGGGUAGAAUUCCAGGUGUAGCGGUGAAAUGCGUAGAGAUCUGGAGGAAUACCGGUGGCGAAGGCGGCCCCCUGGACAAAGACUGACGCUCAGGUGCGAAAGCGUGGGGAGCAAACAGGAUUAGAUACCCCGGUAGUCCCUGUCUCUUAUAC